GACGAACGCUGGCGGCGUGCUUAACACAUGCAAGUCGAACGGUGAAGCGCCUUCCUUUUUGGUGGGUGUGGAUGAGUGGCGAACGGGUGAGUAACACGUGAGUAACCUGCCCCCUUCUUCUGGAUAACCGCAUGAAAGUGUGGCUAAUACGGGAUAUUCUGGGUCUGUCGCAUGAUGGGUCUGGGAAAGAUAUUGUUUCGGUGGGGGAUGGGCUCGCGGCCUAUCAGCUUGUUGGUGGGGUGAUGGCCUACCAAGGCGGUGACGGGUAGCCGGCCUGAGAGGGUGGACGGUCACACUGGGACUGAGACACGGCCCAGACUCCUACGGGAGGCAGCAGGGGGGAAUAUUGCACAAUGGGCGCAAGCCUGAUGCGGCGACGCCGCGUGAGGGAUGGAGGCCUUCGGGUUGUGAACCUCUUUCGCCAGUGAAGCAGGCCUGCCUCGUUUGUGGGUGGGUUGACGGUAGCUGGAUAAGAAGCGCCGGCUAACUACGUG
rnacentral:rRNA from 1 species